rnacentral:misc_RNA from 1 species
UUCCCUAACCUCACAUAAAAUCUACUCGCUAUCACUAGCCAAACACACAUGAAUUUUUCUUUUCUAUUGGGAGCAUGCAUGUAAUUAGCAGCAAACUGCAAGGAUGGGAGUGAUUCUAAAUUCACUUCAUUCAUACAUGCGCGCAAACAAAAGAUGUACUAUCACAACGGAAGAAUAAUUGUUCUUCUUCAAAAAAUAUGCAGAUGCAGCAAGAUGUAAAUGUACUUCUCAAUACCUCCAAAAGUAGACACUGUACAUCACGCAUUCCAAAAGAAAUUCUUUCCAUCAAAAUAUACUAGAAAUGAAAUACAAGGGGUGAUAAGGGGAGAGAGAGAGAGAGAGA